rnacentral:tRNA from 1 species
GGGCCUGUAGCUCAGCUGGCAGAGCAGUUGACUCUUAAUCAAUUGGUCGGGAGUUCGAACCCCCCCAGGCCCACCA